UUGUGCAAUGAAUUAACGUCUAUAUAAAGUACGGCAUUGACCCGUGAGAUGUGUUCCACUUAUCUGUUUCAUUGUCGACACGAUCUACUGCGCAUCUUUGCACUGAAUCGACACACUCAAAAUUUGGCACACAUAAUUGAUUAUCCUACGAAGAACGGCGCAGGGAUCUGAGAGACCCAAGGAAUGAACUUGGAGGCGGAGCCUAUUGUGAGCGUGAUGCUUCACAUCAGUCAUAACGGUUCUCUGUUCAUCAAAGAGCAGGAAUUCAGUCUGCUGUCCACGGUUGGACAGCUUAAGGAAGACAUGGAAAAAGAGCUGGAUAUCCCGCAGCGGCAUCAGCUCU
rnacentral:lncRNA from 1 species